CAAUAGCGUAUAUUAAAGUUGUUGCGGUAAAAAAGCUCGUAGUUGGAUUUCUACCGAAGAUAGCCGGUCGGGUCUUCGACCUUGUAUCUGGUUUUGUCUUUGGUAUCCUCAUAGGGAACGUUUCUGCGCUUUAUUGCGUGGUGCGGUAUCUAUGACUUUUACUUUGAGGAAAUUAGAGUGUUCACGGCAGGCAAACGCCUUGAAUAUAUUAGCAUGGAAUAAUAACAUAGGAUCUUCGUCCUAUUUUGUUGGUUUCUAGGGCUAAGAUAAUGAUUAAUAGGGAUAAUUGGGAGCAUCUGUAUCAACGCGUCAGAGGUGGAAUUCUUGGAUUGCGUUGCGACAAACUACUGCGAAAGCAUUUGCCAAGGAUGUUUUCAUUGA
rnacentral:rRNA from 1 species